GUUGCAAAGCACUUUGAAGAGAGAGUUCAAGAGGACGUGAAACCGAUGAGAUCGAAACAGUGAGAGGCAACGAAAAUGCUUGUAUUCAACUGCCAUGCUGCGCACCAUUGGCUUUGCUAGUCCCGUAAGGGCUGGCGGGUUAACGGUUGUGCGGUAUUGCAGUGCAUUUGCAAGUAAUGUGCGCUGAGACGUAUGGAAAGGUUUCCUGAAUCGUGUUUAGAGGACUUCCUCGGAAGAACCCUGGCCGCGUGGAGGGAAAUUCUUUUUAUACGUAAUGGUCUGGCUAACGAAUAGCGCUGCUGUCGUUGCUGUCACUUACGUCUAUCGCAUGCGAUCGGCGUUUGUCGAUAGUUGCGGCAGUGGUGUUUUUCUCUGACUUUUUCUCAGUGUAAAAGUUGUUCAUCUCUCUGACCCGUCUUGAAACACGGACCAAGGAGUAUACAGUGUGUGCGAGUCAUUGGGUGUAAAACUCAAAGGCGUAAUGAAAGUAAAGAUGCCGUAAGGUAUUGAUAUGCGAUUCGAACACUUCGGUGAACGAAGCAGCAUAGCCCCGUCUUGAUCGCUUGCGAUAGGGCGGAGGAUGAGCACACGCUAUGUGACCCGAAAGAUGGUGAACUAUGCUUGAACAGGAUGAAGCCAGAGGAAACUCUGGUGGAAGUCCGAAGCGAUUCUGACGUGCAAAUCGAUCGUCUGAUUUGAGUAUAGGGGCGAAAGACUAAU
rnacentral:rRNA from 1 species